rnacentral:rRNA from 1 species
AGUGAACGCUGGCGGUAGGCCUAACACAUGCAAGUCGAACGGCAGCACAGAGGAGCUUGCUCCUUGGGUGGCGAGUGGCGGACGGGUGAGGAAUACAUCGGAAUCUACUCUGUCGUGGGGGAUAACGUAGGGAAACUUACGCUAAUACCGCAUACGACCUACGGGUGAAAGCAGGGGAUCUUCGGACCUUGCGCGAUUGAAUGAGCCGAUGUCGGAUUAGCAAGUUGGCGGGGUAAAGGCCCACCAAGGCGACGAUCCGUAGCUGGUCUGAGAGGAUGAUCAGCCACACUGGAACUGAGAAACGGUCCAGACUCCUACGGGAGGCAGCAGUGGGGAAUAUUGGACAAUGGGCGCAAGCCUGAUCCAGCCAUACCGCGUGGGUGAAGAAGGCCUUCGGGUUGUAAAGCCCUUUCGUUGGGAAAGAAAUCCAUCUGGUUAAUACCCGGGUGGGAUGACGGUACCCAAAGAAUAAGCACCGGCUAACUUCGUGCCAGCAGCCGCGGUAA